rnacentral:rRNA from 1 species
UACAGAGGGUGCGAGCGUUAAUCGGAAUUACUGGGCGUAAAGCGUGCGUAGACGGUUAUGUAAGUCGGAUGUGAAAGCCCCGGGCUCAACCUGGGAAUUGCAUUCGAGACUGCAUAGCUAGGAUGCGGAAGAGGAGUGUGGAAUUCCCGGUGUAGCGGUGAAAUGCGCAGAUAUCGGGAAGAACACCCGUGGCGAAGGCGGCACUCUGGGACGGUACUGACGCUGAGACGCGAAAGCGUGGGGAGCGAACAGG